rnacentral:rRNA from 1 species
AGCGAACGCUGGCGGCAGGCCUAACACAUGCAAGUCGAACGGAUCCUUCGGGAUUAGUGGCGGACUGGUGAGUAACACGUUGGAACGUGCCCUUUGGUUCGGAACAACUCAGGGAAACUUGUGCUAAUACCGGCUGUGCCCUUCCGUGGAAAGAUUUAUCGCCAUUGGAGCGGCCCGCGUCGGAUUAGUUUGUUGGUGAGGUAAAGGCCCACCAAUGCUACGAUAAGUAGCUGGUUGGAGAGGAUGAGCAGCCACACUGGUACUGAGACACGGCCCAGAAUACUACGGGAGGCAGCAGUGGGGAAUCUAGCGAAAUGGGCGAAAGCAUGAAGCAGCCAUGACGGGUGAAUGAUGAAGGUCUUAGGAUUGGAAAAUUAUUUCAGAGGGGACGAUAAUGACGGUACCAGCAGAAGAAGCACCGGCUAACUUCGUG